rnacentral:rRNA from 1 species
AGAGUUAGAUCCUGGCUCAGGACGAACGCUGGCGGCGUGCUUAACACAUGCAAGUCGAGCGGAAAGGCCCUUCGGGGUACUCGAGCGGCGAACGGGUGAGUAACACGUGAGCAACCUGCCCUUAGCUCUGGGAUAGCUCCGGGAAACCGGGAUUAAUACCAGAUACGACCACUUUAGACAUCUGCUGUGGUGGAAAGAAUUUCGGCUAGGGAUGGACUCGCGGCCUAUCAGCUUGUUGGUGGGGUAACGGCCUACCAAGGCGACGACGGGUAGCCGGCCUGAGAGGGCGACCGGCCACACUGGGACUGAGACACGGCCCAGACUCCUACGGGAGGCAGCAGUGGGGAAUAUUGCGCAAUGGGCGAAAGCCUGACGCAGCGACGCCGCGUGGGGGAUGAAGGCCUUCGGGUUGUAAACCCCUUUCAGCAGGGACGAAGCGAAAGUGACGGUACCUGCAGAAGAAGCGCCGGCUAACUACGUGCCAGCAGCCGCGGUAACACGUAGGGCGCAAGCGUUGUCCGGAAUUAUUGGGCGUAAAGAGCUCGUAGGUGGUCUGUUGCGUCCGCUGUGAAAUCUCGGGGCUUAACCCCGAGCCUGCAGUGGAUACGGGCAGACUAGAGGUAGGUAGGGGAGAAUGGAAUUCCUGGUGUAGCGGUGAAAUGCGCAGAUAUCAGGAGGAACACCGGUGGCGAAGGCGGUUCUCUGGGCCUUACCUGACACUGAGGAGCGAAAGCGUGGGGAGCGAACAGGAUUAGAUACCCUGGUAGUCCACGCCGUAAACGUUGGGCGCUAGGUGUGGGAUCCUUCCACGGAUUCCGUGCCGCAGCUAACGCAUUAAGCGCCCCGCCUGGGGAGUACGGCCGCA